rnacentral:rRNA from 1 species
CACUGCCUGCCCACUGAUAUUCUUUUUAACGGCCGCGGUAUUCUGACCGUGCAAAGGUAGCAUAAUCACUUGUUUUUUAAAUAAAGACUAGUAUGAAUGGCAAGACGAAAGUUUAACUGUCUCCUUUGUCUAGUCAAUGAAAUUGAUCUCCUGGUACAAAAGCCAGGAUAAUAUAAUUAGACGAGAAGACCCUAUGGAACUUAAAACACGCAUCCACCCAUACGUUUAUAAAACAUCUCAUACACUGGACCGCUGUUUUUGGUUGGGGCAACCACGGAGAAAAAUAAUCCUCCUAGAGACUAAAAUUAAGUAAUACAAUACAAAAUUCCAAUACCAUGGAUGUGAUCCAUAUUCAUGAUCAACGAACCAAGCUACCCUAGGGAUAACAGCGCUAUCUUCUCCAAGAGUCCAUAUCCACGAGAAGGUUUACGACCUCGAUGUUGGAUCAGGAUAUCCAGACGGCGCAGCCGCCGUCAAAGGUUUGUUUGUUCAA